UAAGUUCGGGGAGCAGUCUGAUGCGGUA
rnacentral:sRNA from 1 species